rnacentral:rRNA from 1 species
AGCAGCCGCGGUAAUUCCAGCUCCAAUAGCGUAUAUUAAAGUUGUUGCAGUUAAAAAGCUCGUAGUUGAAUUUCGGGGUUCUACCGUUGGUCGGGCUUUGUCUGUACUGGCGUGUAGAAUUUCUACCUUCUGGGGAACCAUUAUGUUAUUAAUUUAGCGUAGUGGGAAACCAGGACCUUUACCUUGAAAAAAUUAGAGUGUUCAAAGCAGGCUUAUUCUGAAUACAUUAGCAUGGAAUAAUAGAAUAGGACGGUGGUCCUGUUUUGUUGGUUUCUGAAUCACCGUAAUGAUUAAUAGGGAUAGUUGGGGGCAUUAGUAUUCAAUUGUCAGAGGUGAAAUUCUUGGAUUUA